rnacentral:rRNA from 1 species
AUGGUUAAAGCGUUGCUGCCGCCACCAGCCGUCUACGCCAUCGCCGCAACCAGCCGCCGGCACCAUCGCGUCCGACGCCGCAACCAGCUGCCGUCGUUGCGACCGCCAUCGGCGCCGCCGCAACCAGCUGCCGUCGUUGCGACCGCCGUCGGCGCCGCCGCUGUCGCCACCACAACCAGCCGCCGGCGCCAUCGCGUCCGCUGCCUGCGCUGCCGCAACCAGCCGCCGUCGUUGCGACCGCCGUCGGCGCCGCCGCUGUCGCCACCACAACCAGCCGCCGGCGCCAUCGCGUCCGCUGCCUGCGCUGCCGCAACCAGCCGCCGUCGUGUCCGCCGCCGGCGCUGCCGCUGUUGUCGUUGCUGUUAG